GAGAAAAACUUUUAACAUUUUUAUAGACAUUUAUUACUGCGCAUGCGUUUGCGCAUGUGAAAGGUGAUACAAGAAAAAAACUAAAAAGUUCCCUGAACUAAUGUAGUGUAUGAUGACUGAAAACUAAAAUCAUUAAAAAUGAAAGUUUUUUUAACUUUUCGAAUAUUUCUUUGCAUUUUAAUUUUAAGGGAAACGUGCCCACAAAAUUUAAGAGGGAAUGUUACUGUGACAGACCUGCAUUUAAUAAGUGAAAACAUUGUUCCAAUGAGAAGGGUUCUGGAUAGAGGCCCUUACUUUGAUACUUCAGCUACUAAAAACGUGACAUCCUUAGUUGGGAUAACAGGACACCUAAAUUGUCGCAUUAAAAAUCUUGGAAACAAAACGGUGUCAUGGAUACGGCAUAGGGAUUUGCAUCUGCUUACUGUAUCUGAAAGCACUUACACUUCGGAUCAGCGUUUUACUUCCAUUUACAAUAAGCAAACUGGAGAUUGGUCCUUACAGUAUUCUGCCAGUGCAGUGAUUUCAGGCGGUGGGCACGCCUCGUCACCGGCAAAUUAUACCGAUGCCACCACAGUCUUCUUAGCUGCUCUCACAUCUUCUACCACGAUCGGUACACAGUCCCGCGUUAGAAAUUCUAUAAAGUUUCCUCAAUUAAGAGAUUCGGGAGUCUACGAAUGUCAAGUAUCCACAACACCACCAGUGGGAUAUACCAUGGUAUUUUCAGUUGUAGAGCCUAUUACUAGUAUCCUUGGCGGUCCAGAGAUUUACAUUGAUUUGGGAUCAACGGUUAAUUUAACAUGCGUGAUAAAACAUUUACCGGACCCGCCAAUUUCAGUGCAGUGGAAUCAUAACAAUCAGCAUUACUUUUUUCGCAGGAAAUUAACUAUGAUUCACCAAGGGGAGGAGUUUCAGUAAUAACUGAAAAAGGAGACAUAACAACAUCGUAUCUGUUGAUUCAACGAGCAAGCAUUGCUGACUCAGGGCAAUAUUCUUGCUUACCGUCAAAUGCAAACUCCAAGUCCGUAAAUGUUCAUAUUUUAAAGGGUGAUCACCCAGCAGCAGUUCAAAAAUCCCACUUACUGGUAUCGGAACUUUUAAGUCUGUGUUUUCUUCAGAUUUGUUUAAAAUUAUCAGCUCAAUAAGUACUUCUUAAUUGCGAAUAAAACUAUAUUUCCAAAUAAAAAUUUCAAAAUUCGAAUUAAAAAUUUAUAUUUUUUGAGAAUAUA